UUCGUCAUCUGCAGAGCUAGUUGGCAUAUAGACUUGUACUACUGUCGUAGGCGUGGGAUCCGUGUCUAUCUUGGCCACAACAAUGCAUUCGCUGUGCUGUUUGUAGUAGCUUACCCGUAUUCCUAUUGUUUUAUUCAUUAUUAAACCUACUCCUGCAUUACCCCUAUUUGACUUUGUAUUUAUAACCCUGUAAUCACCAGACCAAAAGUCUUGUUUUUCCUGCCACCGAACUUCACUAAUUCCCACUAUAUCCAACUUUAACCUAUCCAUUUCCCUUUUUAAAUUUUCUAACCUACCUGCCCGAUUAAGGGAUCUGACAUUCCACGCUCUGAUCCGUAGAAUGCCAGUUUUCUUUCUCCUGAUAACGACGUCCUCCUGAGUAGUCCCCGCCUGGAGAUCCGAAUGGGGGACUAUUUUACCUCCGGAAUAUUUUACCCAAGAGGACGCCAUCAUCAUUUAAUCAUACAGUAAAGCUGCAUAAAGAGGGUUGUGAUGACAAAAUCAGUGGUUAAAUUUAUGUAGGUGAUUCCUGGCAGCAAACCAAGAAAGGAAAUGCCCGUAAUAACUUGUAGAUUGAAGUGCAAUUAGAUAUUAAAUUGAGCAUGUGUUUUAAAAAUUGUAUAGUCUGUAUUAAAGUAGCAUCUGUGGCUCUAAGGGCAGACCCCGCAGUUGCCACAUAAUAAUUUAUUUUAGUGUUAUCACUUGUAACUACUUAUUGUACAUAUCAGGUAUUGCAUUGACACAAUGUGUGGUCUUCACACACCAAAUUUACACUCGAGUUGGUGGGCGAUGUGGACUGUAAUUGUAAAUGCCUUUAUGGUCACUGCCAUUAGCCAUCACGCCAAGUGUCAACUUGGAUUGCACAGAUAACAUCCACAUUUUGGAAAUUAUCUGUGAAUACUGGCUUUUCAGAGACCACAAGAAGAAGUAAAUUUAUAAAGAACCAUUCAGGUCAUGCAACCUCUACUAUGAAUGCUUUCGAGGGAGAUUUGCAUGGAGCAGGAGGAGUAGCUUUACAGAAAACACACACACACACAGAGGUUGCAUGGGGAGAAGAGCUGUGUUAUUGAAAAUGAUUAAAAUAACCCCAUCACCCAGAUUCAAGAUACAAUUAAAAAUAAAGAAAUGGCUCAAAAGCCUUACAGCCAAUGUUGCACAAACCUAAACCAACAAAAAAAUUAUUAUCGUGAAGAAUGCCCAGAGGAGACUACCACUCUGGAAAGUGUAGCUGCGCUCAGAAGGUUGAGUGGUGGUGGUAAUGGGGCAGAGGGCCCAAUGGAAAACACUGCUGACUGUGCAUGGGACUCGACUUGCUGCUCUCUGGCAGGAGAUGGAUGGUGGCUGCCGAUGUGGUGCUAAGCCCCAGGGAGGGAAUUUUAAGUGCUGAUAGCCGCAAGUGUGGACUAUAGGUUUCCGUGAGGAACUUCUCACACCUAGUCACAUCGCUCAGAAGGAGAGAUUCUCUGUGGUGUGAUGACAUCAACCUGUCCCUAUGGUCAUUACAGCUGUGCAGUGCAGUUUUCCACUGAGCACAACUAGUCUCAUCUCACAAUCCUUUACUUGUAUGUUAUUCUGACUCUACUGCAGCUGUUGAUCUGUGACUGCUAAGGCAGUACUUUAUAAAUUUGCUCAGUGUUCCCAGUACGCUCUUGCAAAACAGCUUCUAAACUGCAUCAUAGAUAUGGAAAUUUUAUAGGAAAAUAAAGAGGCAAACUGGUUUUCAUACCACAAAUUCAACUUUCAGCUAACUUACCAUUCAGAUUUAAAAGGCAUAAGAUGAGGGCAGUUGGAAUUUUUACAAAUUGUUUUUUCCGCACAGACAACUUGGCGUACCACGUUUGCAGGUUCGACAAUCACAAGUGUCUUUCCGCCCAAAAAUAUAACAGUUAGAUGCUAUACAAGUGAGAUACAAAUGAGGGCAGUUGGAAUUUAGACAAAUUGUGUUUUCCGCACAGAACCACUGUGUGUACCAUGUUUGCAGGUUCGACAAUCCCAAGUGUCUUUGCACCCAAAAGUAAAACAGUUAGAUGCUGUACAAGUGAGAUUAUUGCACAAUGUUUCCAAUUCAGAAAACAAAAGGAAAAGAAACCAAACAAAGCAAAGACUUUCAUAUCCUCCUGAGACCUGAUGUCCAUUAUAAUGGACAUGGAGUUUCCUGUCCUGCUGUCAAAGAUUCUGCAUUUUCUGUUGUAAUACCUGUGGCACAUUUGAAUGGACUGUAUGCUGUAGCCAUCUGGUGGGAGAAACAGUCAUUACGAUUACUUGGCACCAAGUAGCAGCUUUGUUUAUGAUUUUUUACAAUGGCAGGAUACAGAUCAAAGCUAAGUUCAGAAGAAAUUUUAGAACUUCUUUUGAAUGGAGACGUCAGAUCUUGAGAUUAGUGAGGAGGAGGAUGGUGAUUUUGAUCUGGCAGAUGAUGCUGCGCUGCAACGCAAUGUUCCUUCCCCAAGUGAACAUAGUAGCAGCAGUACUGAUAAUUCUGAUGAUGACGAGAGUUCUUCACAGAAUUGCAGGAUGUUUUGGGAGAAAUGCGAAAGGUUUGAGGGACUCCAGGCCACCUUCUCACCCACGGAAGUUGCAGAACAUAAUGAGAAGCAGAUCAUGGACUACUUUCAGCAAUACUUUGACUUGGUUUUUUUUUUUUAGGAUAUGUCUGAACUUAACAAUAUGAGAUAUUUACAGCAGACUGGAAGGUCUUUAAAGCUGUCUGCCAAGGAAUUGCAGGUAUUUAUUGGAGCAACAAUACUAAUGCCUUGUUUGAGAUACCCUAGAGUUAGAAUGUACUGGGGUAAAACAACAAGAGUUAUUAGCAUUACUGAAAUCAUGACUCGAGACCGAUACUUCACCAUUGGAAGUAAUUUGAAGGUGACAGGCGAUAAUGCUGUAACAGAGGAAACUAGAAGGAAAGAUAAGUUGUGGGAAAUAAGGCCACUUUUAGAAUGUGUAAAGAGAGCAUGCCUCAGUUUACCUCGAAUUCCUGAAGUGGCAGUGGAUGAACAAAUGAUCCCGUUUACUGGAGCAUGUGCAAUAAAAAAAUUUGUCAGGGGAAAGCCAAAUCCUGAAGGGCUUAAAAAUUUUGUGUUGGCUGCUCCUUCAGGACUAGUCCUUGACUUUGAGAUUUAUCAUCGCAAAGGAACAUUCCCAGAAGCUAUUGGUCAGCAAUUAAAACAAAGAAUAGGAGCCUCGGCAGUCCUCAGGCUUUGCUAGAGUCUUCCAGGAGGAACACACGUGUUCUUUGAUAGGUAUUUUACCUCUGUUCCUUUACUGGAAUCAUUGGCUGAAAAAAACUUGCCUGCCACUGGAACCGUCAUGAAGUCAAGAAUACCCAGAGCAGUCCAUCUGACUGCAGACAAGAUUCUUGCAAAUCAAGGACGUGGGUCUGUUGACCAGACAGUGAUAAAAGACAAACACAUUUCUAUUGUAAAAUGGUAUGUCCAAAAGCCAGUCAUAACUGCAUCGACGAAGGUUGGGAAGAACCCUAUGGAUCAAUGUAAAAGGUGGUCGAAAAAAGAUCGGAGAUACAUUCAGGUUCCCCAUCCAGCAGUAAUCAGCUGCUACAAUAAAAAUACGGGUGGCAUAGACCUGAUUGACAGAAUGAUGAGUUUUUACAGGAUCUGCACCAGAAUGAGAAAGUGGACUGUAAAAACUAUUUUUCAUUUCAUAGAUCUAGGAAUUGCAAAUAGCUGGAUUCAGUACAGAAGUGACCGAAUUAAGAACGACGAGCCAAAGAAGAAUAUACUGCAGUACCUUGAUUUCAAAAUUAGAAUUGCUUAAGAAUGACGAGCCAAAGAAGAAUAUCCUGCAGUACCUUGAUUUCAAAAUUAGAAUUGCUGAGCAUUUCUUAAGGGGCCAAGAGGAACAACAUUCUGAUGAAGAUGAUGAGGAGUCAACUCCUAAAAGGCGAAGAGUAUUGCCGCCACAAUCACCUUCACCUUCUGUAACCCAUUUGCCAGAAAUGACUGGGUUGAAAAAUAGCACGAGGUGUAAGAACAGUGGCUGCACGAAGAAAACCAAAAUAAAGUGCAAAGGUUGUUCAGUUUUCCUCUGUCUAUCAUCACAGAAAAACUGUUUCUCUGAGUAUCAUCAGAAAUAAAACUGUCAAAAUUUGUCAUUUAUUUUCCUUUUUAAAUUUAUAUUCAUUAUUUUAAAUUAAUAAUCAGUGAAUGAUUCAAGUAAUAUCUGCCUAAUAAGACUGUAUUUUGUUCAA